rnacentral:rRNA from 1 species
AACGAACGCUGGCGGCAUGCCUAACACAUGCAAGUCGAACGAGAACUUCGGGUCUAGUGGCGCACGGGUGCGUAACGCGUGGGAACCUGCCCUUAGGUUCGGAAUAACUCCCCGAAAGGGGUGCUAAUACCGGAUAAUGUCUUCGGACCAAAGAUUUAUCGCCUUUGGAUGGGCCCGCGUUGGAUUAGCUAGUUGGUAGGGUAAAAGCCUACCAAGGCGACGAUCCAUAGCUGGUCUGAGAGGAUGAUCAGCCACACUGGGACUGAGACACGGCCCAGACUCCUACGGGAGGCAGCAGUGGGGAAUAGUGGACAAUGGGCGAAAGCCUGAUCCAGCAAGGCCGCGUGAGUGAUGAAGGCCUUAGGGUUGUAAAGCGCUUUUACCCGGGAUGAUAAUGACAGUACCGGGAGAAUAAGCUCCGGCUAACUCCGUG